rnacentral:piRNA from 1 species
UGGGUAAUUAAUCUUUGACCAUCCAGGA